ACGGAGUGAUCUUUCCCUCUUAUGAAAGCCGGUAUCUCACUUUCGAAAGAGAGUCUCGACGUGGCGGUGUAGACCUAGCUCCAUAGCUGGGCUAGUCACUGGCUAGAGGGCGACCGACCUACCGGACUCUCGACGUGGAGGUGUAGACCUAGCUCCAUAGCUGGGCUAGUCAAUGGCUAGAGGGCGACCGACCUACCGGACCGGAGGCUGCCGAGAAUGUUAUGUAAAAAGGACCAAGGAGGAUCCUAUCCUAAAGGAGAAGGAGUAGGAGUAGGAGCUAGCUUUAGGGGCGGAAUCGAAUGAUUACGAGAUAAAAAAUGAGACAAAGGAGAGCACUUAGACAAUUCACUUUGAAUACUAGGAAGUCUGCUGGUAGGAAUUCCUCAGGGCGUAUUACGGUUUUUCACCGAGGGGGUAGAUCGAAGCGAUUGCAGCGAAGAAUUGAUCUGAAACGAAGCACUUCGUCAAUAGGCAUUGUAGAAAGGAUAGAAUAUGAGCCUAAUCGUUCUUCUCGAAUCGCUCCAGUGCGAUGGACCGGGGGGGGGGG
rnacentral:lncRNA from 1 species